UAUUUCCCCCUUUCUCUCCACCUGUAACUACUACUAGCAGAAUAACAUCGUCAGCGGCCAGCCAUUGUCGUGAGAUGUGAAGAUUUUUUUCGUGAAAGAUCAAGAUCAAAAGUGGAGAAAUUACAAAUUGCAGAAAUGCAUACAAUCCCGGAAUUGGGUACCAGUGUACCAGCGUUCCUUGCCAAACUUUGGAAGUUGGUCGAAGAUUCUGAUACUGACGACCUUAUUUGUUGGUCACCUAAUGGAAGGAGUUUUUUCAUUAGAAAUCAGGCACAAUUUGCCAGAGAAUUAUUGCCACAUUACUACAAACACAAUAACAUGGCCAGUUUUAUCAGGCAGUUGAAUAUGUAUGGUUUUCACAAGAAAGUUUCUGUAGAAUUUGGUGGUUUAAAAUGUGAUAAGGAUGAAAUGGAAUUCGCACAUCAAUUCUUCUGUAAAGGUCAUCCAUAUCUUGUAGAACAUAUUAAAAGAAAAAUUGCCUCUAAUAAAGGACAAGAUCCAGCACUUACUCCUAUUAAACCAGAACUAAUGAAUAAAAUGCUUACUGAAGUAAGAAGUAUGAGAGGUCGUCAAGAACAUUUAGAUUCAAGACUUGGAGCCAUGAAAAGAGAAAAUGAAGCACUGUGGCGAGAACUAGCAAUGCUUAGACAGAAGCACCUUAAACAACAGCAAAUUGUUAAUAAACUUAUACACUUUUUAGUUACAUUGGUACAGCCUUCCAGAAGUGGUGGUCUCUCUGUUAAAAGAAGAUAUCCACUAAUGAUCGACGAUUCUAACCGUCAACGUAACAAACAGGCGAAAUUAUCAAAGUCACAAACAUCACCAGCGGGUCCUGUAAUUCACGAACUUGAUUCAUCAGAACCGGAUUUAGAUUCGGAAUAUAUUGUUGCAGAAAUGUUGGAAGGACAUCCAAACCCAGCUAUUGAAAGUCCUGAGCAUAAUAACACUUCAAUAAUGGAAGACAAUAAUAUGGAAACAAUUCAUUUAGUUGAUGAUCCUCUUCACUUACCAGAUGAUAUAGAACUUAUUAAUUCUCAAGAAACUGAAACAAAGAAAAAACGUGGAUGUAAGGGUAAGAAGAAGAGGAAAAACAAGGUGCCGGUCAAAAUUUUGAUCCCAUCGACGGAGGAUGGAGAGGAACCAAGGGAAGAAACACAUUUGCUUGAAAUACCAUUAGACGCUGCACCGGUGAUCGCUUUACUGAAAGAUAAACCAGCCUCAAAGGCAGUACCUCUGUCAACUAUGCGUAGUCCAAAGCUCGCAGCAAUGGCAGCUAAUAUGAACAAAGUCACUAAUGUAAAGUGUGAGCUCGAUUUGGGAACUUCAACAGAUAUGGAGGAAGAUGUUCAGGAGAAUAAUCCAACUCUGGUAAAACUCGAAGAUAUUUUAAUAGUACCAGAAAUAAUCAACGAGGAUGUUGAAACCGAGAAUGUCGAGUUUAGUGAAAACAAUAACAAUUCUGAAAGCAAUGAAACCAAUGCCACUUUCAAUCAACUUGACAAAGUAAAUGAUAACGUUGAACAGAAUAACGAAAAAAACUUUUAUACAAAUGGUGCUCAGAAAUGUUCGGGGCAGAACAAAGACAACUGCAAUGGAGCAGGGACAAGCAAUUCAAAAGAUUUGUCAUUGAGUUGCAUCAUUCCCUCGGGCAUGUCUGAUGCUGCUUACAGGUUAGGAUCAAUGGAGGAAAUGGAUAAUCACCUCGAAACAAUGCAAACAGAAUUGGACAAUCUCCGCGAUAUUCUACGAUGCGAGGGUUAUAGUAUCGAUGCAAAUACGCUUCUUGGUUUAUUUGGAGCAGAUGAUCCAAUGUCAUUUGGUAUGCCAGUUAAUCCAGAGUUGAACCCACAAUCUGAAAAAGAAGAGGAAAAUCAUGCUAAUGUUGCAGAAAAUAAUAAUGGAACUGGUGGUGGUGAACUUAUGGCAUAUAAUCCUGUUCAAAACUUCUUAGAUUUCGACGAUGACAUUUUCUUGGAGGCCACAUCUCCUCCAACUAGCACAGCAGGUGGUGAUACAGCUAUAAUCAAUCUUUAUAGCUCGGAUUCUCUCGAUUUGGAGGAUAGCAAAUUUUCAUUUCUGAAUUCCUUAACAAAUGAUGUGAACACUUCAUCAUAAAGUCUCAUUCCUAUGGUUCAGAUCUGUUGCGUCCAAUGCUUUGGUUUCAGUAUGUUUUAUUCUCGAUGGAUCAUCACGAGCAUGCUCUCUCUCUCUUUCUCUCUCUGUCGCUCUCGGUGUAUUUUGAUGACCAAAUAAGCAACGAGCUUGUAAUGUACUGACAAUAGUACCUGAGGAAAAUGCGGUCAAUCAAAUGAUCCCAUCGGUUUAUGGAGGACAAUAAAUAAGUGAAAACAGCAGGAGCGCAUAAAAUCCUCUGGAUUUGCUGCUAUAUAUGCAUACAAAGCAAUUAAAAAAUUUGAUUGUUUCGUUAAUUUUUUUAUGAGUUAACGUUAAUGUUGUGCCGUACUUUAUUUAUAGUAUAUAUUAUUACAAUAUAAAACAAAAAUCAAACAAGGAAAUUGUUCAUUUGCCGAUAUAUUUCAUAUCUGUGUAAAUACUUUUCCUUUUUUUCAUGUAUAUAAUUCGAUCAAAAAUAAUUUGUUUAUUUUAAAGACACGGAAGCACGUUAUAGUGACUAACGUUUCUUAUCGAUCGUACAAUGCAAACUUGAAGUUCCUGCAUAUCUUAUAUUAAAGAAUUAUCGUACUACCAUAUAUUUAUUGCGUAAUCUUUUUUAAACAAUUCGAACAGAAAUUGCAGAAAUACAAUAAGACAAUCAAAUAUUGUUAAAGGCAUCACUUAGGUUUCUGUGUACUUUUGUCAUCUGUAAUUUCUAAUGAUCAUAUUAUUUAUGAGGAUUUGAAUUGUCUUGCUUGAAUUCCAUCCACGUAAAUAAUAAAAGAAAGAAGUAUAUACGAAAUUCGUAUUUUUUGUACUAAAUUCUUCUUAAAAAGAAGAAUAAUCGUAUAUAAUACACAUUGAAUCUAAAAAAUAAUUACAUUGAAAUGUUCAGUGUUCUUGUAGAUCAAGGUGUAUUGUACAGAAAGAAAAAGAAAACGCUAGAAGCGAAAGAAUUUUAUAUUUUUAUAAUACAAAGAAUCUGUGCGUUUAACGUUUUUUUGAAGAUGAUAAUUAGUAUUUAUUUAUAAACGUCGACUCAUUGUACACAAAACAAUUCUUUUUUCUACGUUUGUGUAAAUAUACACUUAGAUUCUGACAACCUUGUAACUCAUAAAAUAACUUAUAAAAGAAUUCGUUACGUAAAAGUACAAUCAUUUUAUUGUUACAAUAUUCUAUAGAAAAAACUAAUAAAGAAUAUCUUCAUUUGAAAUGAAAUGGUCAGCAAAUGUGUACUUACUAUAAUAUACAAUACAGUAUAGCACACUUUAUUUUCUAUAUUAGAAAAUACAUACUUGAAGCAAUUUGUUUUUUGUACAGACUCAUAAAUAUUGAAUAUGAUUAUAAUACAUUUCUUUGUUUUAACAAAUACAUGGAUGAAAUUGAUUAUAAUUGACUUGUUUAUACAAAUAUAUAAAACAAAUACUUCUAAAAUAAAUAUGUGAAUGUCUUUUAAUUCAUUUUUGCAUCUCUAUUAACCUGAAUUCUAUAGUGACUGUAUAUAUAUGCUGAUAAAUAUAAGUUUCUUACUUCCUAACUGUCUGUUUGAUCUACAAGUUACUAUUAAAAAAUUACUACUGAUUGUCAAAAAGUACGAAUAUAUAUAUAUAUAUUUUUUUUUUGAAAGAAGAAUAAAAUAUUUAUAUUAAAUGCGUCAUAGAAACUACAUGAAUAUUUUAGUUUAAUAUUCAGUAAAUUUGGUGAAAAAUGUUGUUUGUCUCUAAAAUGAAAACAUGUAUUAAUUAUAUACAAUUCCUUUUGUUUUUUUUAUACUAACAAAAUUAGUUCCAUGUGUUUGCAGCUAAUUAUUCUACAGCAAUCGGACACUUCGUUAUUUUAUUUAUUUAGCUUAACAAAAAAAAAUAUUCUUUAUCAGGCUAAAAUUAACCGAAAGCAAAGUACAAAUUAUCUAUACUUCUUAAAAAACGAACAUAGGAAUAAUCUAUGGAUGGAUCGUUGAUAUUUCAGUUACACUUAAAAUAAAGCUUUGGAAGAAAGACUGCUGGAUUUUUAAUCGCCUUAUUGGUAAUGUCUUCGUUUUAAUUAGUGAAUAUGAUGCUACGGUAAACCCUGUAACAAGUUUAGUAUGAAGGGGAUGAUGUAAAGAAUUGAAGAGGUACACACAGUGGUUCAUGCUUAAAAUUCCUUGAAGAAGGAAAUAAAGAAUCAAACGAUAUAAAUCUAUAAAUCGGAAGAAACAAUUUAUCUUCGUGUUGAUGAGGAUAGAUACUAAACAAAUAAAAACGUAUUCUACGAACUAUCAUUGAAAGAAUAUAUAGCAUAAAAAAAGCAAAAGCAAAUAUGCGCGUAUCGUGUAUGUAUCGACAAAGGGCUGUAAUUUCCAGUUUCACCGACUUGUACAUAAUUAUGCAGGAUUCUGCAUUGAUAAAAAACAUAAAAUGUUUCCUAAAAAUGUCCAUUACCUGAAAAGUAACAAUUUUUUUACAUGUGUAUGUAAUGCACAGUAUUAGAUUAUAAAUGAAUUAAUUCUAUGUUGAGCGGCAUAUACGCUAAAAGGUGCACAGAUGUAUAUAUAUACAAAUCUAUACAUAUAUAUAUGCAGAAAGUGAGCAUGUUAAAGGUAUAAAAUUUGUUUAAUAAUGUCAGUCUAUUUUUUCGUAAACGUCUUUUUAUUGUGGUAUAAGGUUUAAACAAACCUAAAAUGUUGAAACAAAGUUUAAACAAAGUUAAAGGUGAUAGUACAACCUAAGAUUUCAGUGUCUAGUUCCACUAUCACUCCCGUUGUUGUGUAAAAGAUUUUUCUUUACUUUUAAUCAACACUUUUUCAUAUAUUUAAUCUUCUAGAUUUCCUUUUUUCAAUCCUGCUUUUUAAUUUUAUUUUUCUAAUUUUUGUUUUGAGUGUGUUAAAGGCUAUGUGAAAGUAAUACUAUUGAUAAGAAUAUCUAAUUAAUUUUGUAAAUGAAUUUGAUCAUAGAGCGUGAAUAAGUAAGUAGGGUGUUAAGUAAUUAUUUAGAAUAUUUAUGGAAUCAAGAUACUUAACUAAAUAAUUAAUCCAUAUUUUUGUUGUAUAAAUCAAAAACAUUUUUUUUAUUUUCAUUGUGAAAUAAAAAUUAUGUUCAUUCACACGUACAAUUACUUGUAUGCAGUAGAUAGUUCAAACCAAUAAAUGUCUUUCACCAAACACUGAAAUCUUAAUGUUGAAUCUUUACAAAAUAGAUUGAGUUUGUGUAUAUCAGAAAAUAAUAUAAACAGAAUAGUACACUGUAAUCUUUGUUAGAUUAACAUGUUAUUUUAAUUUAGUAAUAAAUAGAUUUUUUUAUAUUCAUUUGUGAAGAAAAACACCAUAUAUUACAAAUUCAUAAAAAACUUAGCAUAUGUUAUAUAAUUCCAUAUACAGUGAAGUGUCAACCAUACAUUUAUGUAGUUUACUUUUCUUUACAUAUUACAAUAUUUCAACCUUACAAAUAUUUCAACACACUUCAUAAUUUCUUAGAUUUAACUCAUUUAAAUUACUUAUCUAUGUGUUAACAUUACUUUUAUUAUGUAAUUAUUAAGCGUCUGUUAAUUAAUUUACAAUGCAAUAUGUGAACAACUUAAAAAACCUUUUUGUUCAAAAUAUUUAUUAAAGAAAAUUGUUAUUGAUCUUCUAUGGGCUAACUGUUAAUUUUUUUUCUAUUAAACUAAUAGAAAGUCAUUAGUUUCAAACGAUUAACUCAAAUUAUAUCAAUUUGUUUUAUCAUUUGAUUAUUAAGUGUAUGUACACUUUAAAGAAUAUUUAACCAAACGAUUAUUCACUUACUCAUGGAAGAUCAAACUACAAGAGUGUAACAAAAUCAAAAUAAUGUAUCCUGUACAAAAGUAUAGUUGAUACUACACACUUGUAGAUAUCCAAUUUUGUGAUACAUUAAAGUUUUGUACAAAAAGGUAGGGUGAUUAAAAACAGGUGACAAUUCCUCCUUUCCCGGUUAUAAAUUGCAUGUUUUGCUAUUAAUUAUAAAAAUACCAGUUACAAUAGAAUUAAAGGAUAAAUUAAAAUGUAUCUAAACGUCUGGAGGAAAUCAUUGAGAAACAAACUUGUAAUUUUUAUUUACCGACAUCUAUCUUCUAAAUUCAAUAUCUAUACUCUUAUUUUUACUAUAUCACAAAAGGAAAUUGACUUUAUUCUGCUGUUUAUAACUAACGUUAUCACAUGAUAAAUAUAUAUAUUUAAAAAAGCAGCGAUCGAUUAAAAACAUUAUAAUAUCUUUGAAAACCACAAUUUUAAUCGAAAUUACUUCAUUCGACACAGACAAGCUUUUAACUAUCAUUAAAAAUAAUGUUAAAUUUGUUUGUUUCUAAAUAAAAUUUAGAUCAUUGUUUACAUAAUCUUAUUAUAUAUCCUAAUUCGAACGAUCUAUCCUUAUAUAAAAAUUUUAUACUAUUUAAAAAUACUCGAAAAUCUCCGGUGCGUUAACGAAAUAUAUAUUGCAAUAUGUUCAAAUAAUAAUAUGCUGAGCAAUUUGCUGAAAGGAGUAACUUGAAUAAUAUUAUUUUUUAUAUAACGAUAACGAUAUAAUCUAGACUAUAAGUUUUUGAGGAGCAAAUCUUACAUUAUGUGCGAAAACCGAUUGUAUUUAUAUUUUAUAGAUUUUUUUAAUGGUAGCAUUUUCACAAAAAUAUUUCAAUUUAAAUUUCAGUAUAGAAAUUAUUAACAUUGUUUUUAUACUAUAUGUAUGAAGUUAUUUUAUGUACAAAGAUUUGUUUAAAAAUACUUUGACCAUUUCAAUUGCAGCUAUUAUCUACUUAUUAGUUAUUGUCUAAAAAAAGAAUCUGUAUUAAAUUUCUCGAUUUAAUAUAUAAAAAUUCCUAAAUUUUGAAGUUAUUUUAAUUUCGGAUAGCUGAGCUAUGAAUAUCGGAAAAAGUGAUGAAUCCUUAAAACGCGUAUAAAAUGUUAUACAUAAUUAUUAUUUUUAUCAUUUCUGUAAUACUUGCUGUAAUACCAAUUAAAUUGUACCAUAAAGCAGAAUAAAAUUCGUUAUAAAAUCGUAAA